AACGUCAUUAACUUAUCAUGUUUCUUAGAUUGGA
rnacentral:guide_RNA from 1 species